GAUGAACGCUGGCGGCGUGCCUAAUACAUGCAAGUCGAGCGAAUUGACAGAGGUGCUUGCACCUCUCGAUUUUAGCGGCGGACGGGCGAGUAACACGUGGGUAACCUACCUAUAAGACUGGGAUAACUUCGGGAAACCGGAGCUAAUACCGGAUAAUAUUUAGCUUCGCAUGAAGCAAUAGUGAAAGACGGUUCUGCUGUCACUUAUAGAUGGACCUGCGGUGUAUUAGCUAGUUGGUGAGGUAACGGCUCACCAAGGCAACGAUACAUAGCCGACCUGAGAGGGUGAUCGGCCACACUGGGACUGAGACACGGCCCAGACUCCUACGGGAGGCAGCAGUAGGGAAUCUUCCGCAAUGGACGAAAGUCUGACGGAGCAACGCCGCGUGAGUGAAGAAGGUUUUCGGAUCGUAAAACUCUGUUGUAAGGGAGGAACAAGUACGUUAGUAACUGUACGUACCUUGACGGUACCUUACCAGAAAGCCACGGCUAACUACGUGCCAGCCGCCGCUGUAAUAC
rnacentral:rRNA from 1 species